AUGUUGUUGCCCAUUAUCUUGCAGAGAACAGAAAUGUGUAUUUUGUUUACAACCCAGCUUUUUAGUAAAGAAGUAAUCUUUUUAAUUAUUCGCUUGAAUAGGUCUUCUAAACUCAUUUUGGGAGUUGAAUGUGGUUGGAUGUUGUGCGACUUCCUGUCUACCAACUCAUUACCCUCCUCAUACCCUGGGUGGUGUUACCAGACAUUGGUAACCAGCAGGCAGCAGAGGAAGAUUGAAAAGAGAGUAUCCCUUGAAAGCCUGCCAAAGCUCAAGCUGGCCUUUGAGGAAUUUGAAAUGGGUGUCCUAAGAUCACUGGAUGUGCUCAACUUUGGACUGAUAGUGAAGAAGAGUUUGGGCUUUCACAACAUAGAUGAGUUACACAGUGGAGGAGGAGUCGGCGCAGUGUGGCCAACAGGUGGCGUUUUCCCUGCCCACCCCGGUCAGGGACCUGUGCCAUGGAGAGCCCGUUGCCCUGAUGGCACCAUUUUCACCGUUUGCGAGGAUGGUGCUGUCUACUACUGGAGCCCCGGGCUCAUCCUGAAGAGGAGCAAGAGCGAGUGUGCGGGUGCGUGUGGCAGUGACUCAGUGAGUAGUUUUGAAGUGUGAGGAUGUAGACAAGACCUUUCUGAUGAUGAAGGAGCUUGUAUGCUGUUAUAGUUGGGAAAUUUGUUUAGAAGUUUGCAUAAAUUACAUUAAAUGAACCAUGUAAUACCAGACCACACACUGGCAGUCUAAACCAUAUCUUACUAAAAUACUGGUUCCCGCCCUGGCAGCCUAAAUCAUGUAAUACCAGAUCACACUCUGGCAGUCUAAACCAUAUCUAACUAAUACCAGAUCACAGACUGGCAGCCUAAACUAUAUCUAACUAAUAACAGAUCACACACUGGCAGUCUAAACCAUGUAAUACCAGAUCACACACUGGCAGUCUAAACCAUGUAAUACCAGAUCACACACUGGCAGUCUAAACCAUGUUAUACCAGAUCACACACUGGCAGUCUUAACCAUGUAAUACCAGAUCACACACUGGCAGUCUAAACCAUGUCUUACUAAUACCAGAUCACACACUGGCAGUCUAAAUUUAGUCUUACUAAUAGUAGAUCACACACUGGCAGCCUAAACCUUGUCUUACUAAUACCAGAUCACACACUGKCAGUCUAAACCAUGUCUUACUAAUAUCCAGCCUGAUUUUAGACCUGCUUUAGUGGUAUUCCUGUUCUGUCUCCCUGCCUGCAGCUACACUGGAUCUGAUGAGUGUUCUAUUCUGUAUGACGACUCCCAGGCAGGGUUUGGGAGUAAUGGAUUACAUGUAAUCUGUUACAUGUAAGAGAAUCCAAGAAAGCGGUAGCUGUAAUCUGUUACGUUACCAGCAAAAAUAUUGUAAUCAGAUUACAGAUUCUUUUGAAAAACUAGAUGAUUACUUUGAGUAUUACUUUUUUAUUCAAAAAGGAUGUUGACGAAAAAAUAAAUACAUCUCGAACACAUUCUAGUCAGCUUUGAAAAAAGGCACAAUUUUAAAUUUGUUCUACCUGAGCGAGUCUGACCACAAGUCAGUGACCAUUAUGAUGACACCAAAUGUGUUUGAUGGAUUGCAGGAAAAGAGAAGGAAUAGGCUUUUGUUGGCUACAGUCCAAGCUAUUUCUUCCAAUGGUGCGUCUGCUGUCGGCAUCCAAAGAUUUUCCUAUUUGAAUAUACGCUUGGAGGUAAGGAUGGCGGCAGUGGUGUAGUCUACAACGAUAUGGAUAUCUCUUAUUAUUGAUAUCUACAUAGCGCUUUGAUGUGAAUCACACUGCUGCUCUGUCAUUUAGCUAUUUGCUCCUUACAGAUGGUGGUUGUUGUGGAUGGCUGCUCACAAAUCUAAAUGUGUAUUUGAACCCAAUAAUGGUUAAAUUCAAGAAGUUUAAGUUGCCUAUCAAUAAUUGUUUUUAAAACCAGUGGACAGCCAGUGAAAACAGCUGCGUAGUGCGGAUCCCAGCCUAUGGAAUAAAAGUGGGGCUUUUAUUGCUCAAUCUAAUUCAUGCUGAUAAAAUACAUCCAUAGGCCUAAUGGACACAUGCUCAGACUCGCACACCAUUGAUAUACUUAUAGGGGCAAUCUGUAGUUGCUACUUCCAUUUUUGGAUUUAUAAAUGAUAUAUAUUCAUGUAAAGAUAUAAUUUAAUAGUAUUAUUAUAUGCAUUAGAAAGCGAUGGGUUAUAAUAAGCCUACAUUACCAACCCAUAAAGUAAAAUUUAACAUCCAUAUAGGGCCAGCUAUGUUAACUUUAACACUGAUUUAUCCUGCAAUAGAAGUCAUUCAAUUGGUACUUCCAUAUUUGUCUUCUUCCAAUGUCUCUUAAGGGGAAAGUAAUCUAAAGGUAAUCAGAUUACGUUACUGAGUUUGGGUAAUCCAAAAGUUCCGUGACUGAUGACAAUUUUGGACAGGUAACUAGUAGCUGUAAUGGAUUACAUUUAGAAAGUAACCUACCCAACCCUGCUCCCAGGUAAUGUAACUCCUCUCUCUGCUUGACAACAGACUCAAUUACCAGACGUUGACAAGUUAAAUGCCACUCGGCCGAUUAAUUAUGAAGGGUUAUUUUCCUCUUUCUGCUUUCUAGGGCUGCAUGAAUAUCAUAUUACUUACCUCCGUAGGGAGACUGAGGUAAACAUGUUUUUUUUAAAUGUUAACUUUAUGCAUCUUUUGAACUACCACAGGAACGCAACAGUUAAUCAUCAAGGCAACAAAAAGCAUCAGGAAAAAAGGCAAAUAUAACUUAAAAUGUCUGUCUGCUAUUUCCAUGACGAUUAAAUCUACUAUUUCUGUUUUUUGAUUAUGUCAUAAGAAGAAGGUGGUUUGCACGCAGAAAUAGACAAACUUCAAAGUAUUCCUUUUUAAAUUUGUAAUAUCUUUACUGCUAACUAGUUAUGGGAAUGUGAUGUCAUUGAACAGAUUGGUCGGACUCGCACAGAACAUGACAGCCAAAAAUCUUUGUGCCAACACUGUAACUAUAUGUGCUAUUUCAUACAGUUCUACAUCUUUAUUUGCAGAAUGUGGAAGAAAUGACCAAAGAUUGAGAAUGUGCCUAACAUAGGGAUAGACAAUGCUUUCUCCGAAUGUGACAUACAUACAUACGAUGGAAGGUCCACCAGGACUGGGGGACAAAGGUGAUGUUUAGUAUUUCUCGAUGCACACUGGGAUACCUGUGUGUCUAUCUAUGGAAUAACUAUUUCUGUCUGUUAGAUGAUUAUCUGUAGGGUACAGAAAGGGACCCCCCCUCUCCCCAUAGACUCAACAUGGGAUUUUCAUCAUUUUCAUCUGAAUUUGAAUGCCAUUUAUGUCACGCCCUGACUUUAGUUAUCUUUGUUUUCGUUAUUUAUUUGGUUAGGUCAGGGUGUGACAAGGGUGGUGUGUUUAGUUUUUGUAUUGUCUUGGGGGUUUUGUAUGUCUAGGGGUUUUUCUAGUCUGUUUUUUUUUUGUCUAUGGUUGCCUAGAUUGGUUCUCAAUCAGAGGCAGCUGUUUAUCGUUGUCUCUGAUUGGGAACCAUAUUUAGGUAGCCAUAUUCCUUGCGCAUUUUGUGGGUUAUUGUCUAUGUGUAGUUGCCUGUGUCUGUACUCAGUUGAUUAUAGCUUCAUGUUCGUUUUGUUAUUUUGUAAGUUUGUUUAGUGUUUCUUCAUUUAUUAAAGAGUAUGUAUUUGUAUCACACUGCGCCUUGGUCUCCUCCUUACGACGAAGGUGACAGAAUAACGCACCAAACCAGGACCAAGCAGUGUGAAAGGGAGGAACAGCUUGGUGGAAAAAUGGACCUGGGAGAUGAGUGGGUGACAACCUGGGAGGAGAUAGAGAGGUG
ensembl:lncRNA